rnacentral:rRNA from 1 species
UACGGAGGAUCCAAGCGUUAUCCGGAUUUAUUGGGUUUAAAGGGUGCGUAGGCAGCUCUUUAAGUCAGUGGUGAAAGCCGACAGCUUAACUGUCGAAAUGCCAUUGAUACUGGGGAGCUUAAGUACAGUAGAGGUAGGCGGAAUUAAUGGUGUAGCGGUGAAAUGCAUAGAUACCAUUAAGAACACCGAUUGCGAAGGCAGCUUACUAUAGUGUAACUGACGCUGAGGCACGAAGGUGUGGGGAUCAAACAGG